rnacentral:lncRNA from 1 species
UACAAAGACAUCAGUUGGACAUUAUAUAAAGUGUUUAAGAAAAUUUGACUUCCCACAAACAUUAAAUUAGGUGGGGUGUUCUUUCAUUUCACUUGCUUUGCUCCCCAUGGCGCCAUCUAAGUUAAAAUAUGACUUAGGUAGUAAUGAUCUGAGACUAGGGUGCCUCGAAAGCCAGCUUUUUUCAACUUUGUAUUCCAAUUUUCAAAGUAAAUACCACUUUUCUUUUAAAAUAUUUCCUCUAGCUUCUUGAACAUAUGAAAUAUAGUUAUAACAACUGUUUUAAUGUCCUUGUUUACUAAUUCUAUCAUCUCUACCAUUUCUGGGUUUCAACUGAUUUUUUUCUCCUCAUUAUGGUUAUAUUUUCCUGCAUAUUUGCAUGCAGGAAAACUUUUGAAUGGAUGCUAGAUAUUGUGAUUACCAUGUUGCUGAAUGCACAUUUUUGUGCCUAUUAAUAUUCCUGAACUUUGAUCUGGGACAUAGUUAAGUAACUUAGAAACUAAGUUAUCCUUCUGGAUAUGGUUAAGCUUUGUUAAGCAGGACCAAAGCACUAUUGAAUCUAGGGCUGCUACUAAGCAAAACUACUGAGGCAAAACUUCUGAGUGUUCUACCUACUGACCCAUGAAUUAUGAGGUUUCUCACUGUCACUGAUUGGAACAGGCUCUAUUUCUGUAUGAGGUUUGAUGUUUGUUCCAAUGCUUUCAGGUGGUUCUUUUGCUGGCCUUCCGUAGUCUUCUCACAUGCAUGUGCUGAUCUCUACAGAUCUCUCGAGUUCUUGUACAGCUCUGUCCCCUCCAGACCCCUGCUGUCUUGGUCUCCCUGGUCUCUCAGCUCUGACUCCUUCAGGAGGGUAUACACUGGGUUCCACUUGGGUUCCCCUUCCAUGUGCCACAGCCUGGAAAUUCUCUUGGGCAGAUGACUGGGUCAAUUAUAGGGUUCAUUUCAUUUGUUUUCCCUCAGGGAUCACUGUCCUUCACUGACCAAUGUCUGGAGAACAUUUCAUCAAAAUGAAAACAUUGUAUGAAUCUGGUGUUCCAUAUAUUUUGUCUGUUUUCUUCUUGUUUUAAGCGGAAGGAUAACUCUGGUACUUGUUUUCCAUGGCAGAUGAAAGUGGAAGUCUCGAUGUGCAAACUGAAAACUUUAAUCAUAUGCCAGGAAGCUCUCCCUGCCACCCACUCAUCCUUUUUAUAGUCCACAUCCUAUUCAUGAUAUCUUGUUGACACAUCUUUUCAAAUGUCUCUCAAAUAUACCCCUUUACACCCUUCUCAAUCCUGUGUUAACCACCUCUAUCUAGGCUCUCUAUUUCAUACAUGCUGUAUUGCUAAUAGCCUCUGAAAAGAU